AUACGAAGGGUGCAAGCGUUAUUCGGAGUUACUGGGCGUAAAGAGUAUGUAGGCGGUUUGUUAAGUUAGUUGUUAAAGACCACGGCUCAACCGUGGAAAGGCAGCUGAUACUGAUGAGCUGGAGCGCAGAAGAGAGGAGUGGAAUUCCCGGAGUAGCGGUAAAAUGCGUAGAUCUCGGGAGGAACACCGGUUGCGAAGGCGACCACCUGGCCAGAUACUGACGCUGAGGUGCGAAAGCGUGGGGAGC
rnacentral:rRNA from 1 species